CACGUAGGGUGCGAGCGUUGUCCGGAAUUAUUGGGCGUAAAGAGCUCGUAGGCGGUGUGUCGCGUCGGCCGUGAAAACCUGCAGCUUAACUGUGGGCUUGCGGUCGAUACGGGCAUCACUGGAGUUCGAGAGGGGAGACUGGAAUUCCUGGUGUAGCGGUGAAAUGCGCAGAUAUCAGGAGGAACACCGGUGGCGAAGGCGGGUCUCUGGGCCGAUACUGACGCUGAGGAGCGAAAGCGUGGGGAGCGAACAGG
rnacentral:rRNA from 1 species